rnacentral:rRNA from 1 species
GAUGAACGCUGGCGGCGUGCUUAACACAUGCAAGUCGAGCGGAAAGGCCCAAACUUGCUUGGGCACUCGAUUGGCGAACGGGUGAGUAACACGUGGGUGAUCCGCCCUUCACUUCGGGAUAUGCCUGGGAAACUGCGUCUAAUACCGGAUAGGAUCUCUUCAAGGACGUGGUUCAGGAAUGAAUUUUCGUUGUGGGGUCAGUUCGCGGCGUAUCCGCUUUGUGGUGGGGUAAUGGUAUACCAACGCGUUGCCGGGUAGCCGGCCUGUGAGGGUGUACGGCGACAUUGGGACUGAGGUGCGGCACAGACUCCUACGGGAGGGAGAAGUGGGGAAGAUUGACGAAUGGGCGCAAGCCGGAUGAAGAGAGGCCGCGUGGGGGAAGACGGCGUUAGGGUUGUAAACUACUUUCGCUAGGGACGAAGCGUUUUGUGACGGUACCUAGAGAAGAAGCACCGGCUAACUACGUG